rnacentral:rRNA from 1 species
AUUGAACGCUGGCGGCAGGCCUAACACAUGCAAGUCGAGCGGUAGAGAGGUGCUUGCAUCUCUUGAGAGCGGCGGACGGGUGAGUAAUGCCUAGGAAUCUGCCUAGUGGUGGGGGACAACGUUCGGAAACGGACGCUAAUACCGCCUACGUCCUACGGAAGAAAGCGGGGGAUCUUCGGACCUCGCGCCAUUAGAUGAGCCUAGGUCGGAUUAGCUAGUUGGUGAGGUAAUGGCUGACCAAGGCGACGAUCCGUAACUGGUCUGAGAGGAUGAUCAGUCACACUGGAACUGAGACACGGUCCAGACUCCUACGGGAGGCAGCAGUGGGGAAUAUUGGACAAUGGGCGAAAGCCUGAUCCAGCCAUGCCGCGUGUGUGAAGAAGGUCUUCGGAUUGUAAAGCACUUUAAGUUGGGAGGAAGGGUCGUAACCUAAUACGUUGCGGCUUUGACGUUACCGACAGAAUAAGCACCGGCUAACUUCGUGCCAGCCGCCGCCGUAAAAC